rfam:Lingula anatina scaffold907, whole genome shotgun sequence.
AGGGCAUUAGCUCAGUGGUAGAGCACUUGCCUAGAAUGUACAUUUACCUAGCGCAAGAGGUCCUGGCUUCGAUUCAUAGAUUCUUUU